UAUUAGAGGGGGAAUUAAACCUGGUGUUCUACUAAGUUAGUGCUAUGAAGCUUAGGCUACAUGAUUGAUAUUAUGCCUUGGUUUAUGCGAUAGAUUUAGAUUUUUUUAAUUAUUCGUGUUUGACAGAGCAUUCAAGUUCAUUUCAUGGUAGUGUUUGUAAUUUACCUAGUUUUAAUCUGUAGCCUAACUAUGUUUUUACAGGUGUUCCUGGACAGUUUUGAAACCGAGAUGUCUGAACGCCUCAAAUAAUCAGCAGUAAAGACAACAGAGACAAAUUCUCUAAUACCAAGGUCAAUGCAUUUGACUGCUGUCCAGCCCUGGGUUGCCACCGAAAACUUUAUGCAUCUUGGACUGGAAGAUGGUGUGCUAGUAAGGAAGCUAGCUACCACAGCUUUUGCCACCACAUCUCAGUGUUGGGAGGGAAGUUCACUCACUGCACAACUCUACCAGCUGUACCUUUCCUCCUCAGCCAUGAUCCGUAACCACCAUGGUUUUCUUUCUGGGCCAGAAGACUUUGCAAACAAAUAAGCAAUAAAUGAUCAUGCAUUACA